UUCUUCUCCUUCCCGAAGCUUCUUUUCCUUCUCUCUUUUCCUUUCUUUCUUCCCUUCUCCCGAUCCCUCUUUUCCUUCCCCCUUUCUUCGCCUGCGAAGGGAGGAAGGUGCUCUCCGGAGGGGCCGAGCCACGGCCGGCGGUACCUACGGCCGAUGCCCGAGGCCGAGCCCAAGGCGUCCUCGGCUGAGCCCGUGGUCGGAGCCGACGGCUCCCUCG
rnacentral:lncRNA from 1 species